UUGCUUUGGCAGCAUGUAAACAAAAACUGGAAUAAAUCAGAGAAGAUUACACUUUGCACAAAGAUGAUAUGUAACUUUAUGAAGUACCCCACUUUAAU
rnacentral:snRNA from 1 species